rnacentral:lncRNA from 1 species
UUCAGCCUCGAAGUCGUUGAACGGCAGCCGAUAUCCCAUCUCUUUGAACGCCAUCUCGUACAUAGUAAAUCCACCCUCAGUGUACGACGAACAAAUCCGCUCCCCUUCCGCGGGUGCGUGAACCUCCCAGUUGACCGCGCCAGCCUCCUCGAUGACAGUAAAAAGCCGGGGAUCCUGGGCAUUAAUCGUCGAAGCAAUGCCCCUCGGCUCGGGCGCAACCCAGGCCAGCUCUGGAUCUGUAAUUGUGUCGACCAACUUAUGUUUUGACGCCGCUUGGCUUCCCGUAGCCUCCUCUGUGUCUGACAUUUUGAAUACCUGAAAAGCAGCGAAAAGACAGUGAAUUCGACAGUUAUCAAAUCCACCCUUUCACCGCAAAUCAAGUGAAAGGGCGUAAAUUAGGACGAGGACGCUGUCCCCGACCAAAAGCCCUUAUCAAAAUGGCAAACAAAACAGAGAAACCGGGGAAAACCACUUAACAAAGCCUAAAAACGGGGAGAAGGUCCCCGACACAAGACAUGGCUCGACACUUGAAACCAAACUCUAAUUUGGAUAAAAUCCCAAGUUAAAAACGGGGAG